CCUACGGGAUGCAGCAGUGGGGAAUAUUGCACAAUGGGCGCAAGCCUGAUGCAGCCAUGCCGCGUGUAUGAAGAAGGCCUUAGGGUUGUAAAGUACUUUCAGUUGGGAGGAAGGCGUUGAUGCUAAUAUCAUCAACGAUUGACGUUACCAACAGAGGAAGCACCGGCUAACUCCGUGCCAGCAGCCGCGGUAAUACGGAGGGUGCAAGCGUUAAUCGGAAUUACUGGGCGUAAAGCGCACGCAGGCGGUUGAUUAAGUUGGAUGUGAAAUCCCCGGGCUUAACCUGGGAAUGGCAUCUAAGACUGGUCAGCUAGAGUCUUGUAGAGGGGGGGUAGAGUUCCAUGUGUAGCGGUGAAAUGCGUAGAGAUGUGGAGGAAUACCGGUGGCGAAGGCGGCCCCUUGGACAAAGACUGACGCUCAGGUGCGAAAGCGUGGGGAGCAAACAGGAUUAGAUACCCGAGUAGUC
rnacentral:rRNA from 1 species